GACAGAGGGUGCAAACGUUGUUCGGAAUAACUGGGCUUAAAGGGCGCGUAGGCGGGCCGCCAAGUUCGAGGUGAAAUCCUCCGGCUCAACCGGAGAACUGCCUCGAAUACUGGAGGCCUCGAGGCGGGUAGGGGCGUGCGGAACUGUGGGUGGAGCGGUGAAAUGCGUUGAUAUCCACAGGAACUCCGGUGGCGAAGGCGGCACGCUGGACCCGAUCUGACGCUGAGGCGCGAAAGCCAGGGGAGCAAACGGG
rnacentral:rRNA from 1 species